rnacentral:ncRNA from 1 species
GUAUGGAUGGGGUGUGAUGGUCCUCCCGCGAGGGAGGUGAAUAGGGAACGUGGUGUAAGGCCACGGCUGCCCCCGCAACUGUAAGCGGCGCGGUUUUCGUCAUUUUGCCACUGGGUGUUUUCCGGGAAGGCGAUGGGAACCAUGGGGAUCGAUCCCCGGCGCUGUGAGCCAGGAGACCUGCCAUCUGCGGCUGGGCGUG